rnacentral:rRNA from 1 species
CGGGACACGUGGUAUCCUGUCUGAAUAUGGGGGGACCAUCCUCCAAGGCUAAAUACUCCUGACUGACCGAUAGUGAACCAGUACCGUGAGGGAAAGGCGAAAAGAACCCCGGCGAGGGGAGUGAAAAAGAACCUGAAACCGUGUACGUACAAGCAGUGGGAGCACGCUUAGGCGUGUGACUGCGUACCUUUUGUAUAAUGGGUCAGCGACUUAUAUUCUGUAGCAAGGUUAACCGAAUAGGGGAGCCGAAGGGAAACCGAGUCUUAACUGGGCGUUAAGUUGCAGGGUAUAGACCCGAAACCCGGUGAUCUAGCCAUGGGCAGGUUGAAGGUUGGGUAACACUAACUGGAGGACCGAACCGACUAAUGUUGAAAAAUUAGCGGAUGACUUGUGGCUGGGGGUGAAAGGCCAAUCAAACCGGGAGAUAGCUGGUUCUCCCCGAAAGCUAUUUAGGUAGCGCCUCGUGAAUUCAUCUCCGGGGGUAGAGCACUGUUUCGGCAAGGGGGUCAUCCCGACUUACCAACCCGAUGCAAACUGCGAAUACCGGAGAAUGUUAUCACGGGAGACACACGGCGGGUGCUAACGUCCGUCGUGAAGAGGGAAACAACCCAGACCGCCAGCUAAGGUCCCAAAGUCAUGGUUAAGUGGGAAACGAUGUGGGAAGGCCCAGACAGCCAGGAUGUUGGCUUAGAAGCAGCCAUCAUUUAAAGAAAGCGUAAUAGCUCACUGGUCGAGUCGGCCUGCGCGGAAGAUGUAACGGGGCUAAACCAUGCACCGAAGCUGCGGCAGCGACGCUGAUGCGUUGUUGGGUAGGGGAGCGUUCUGUAAGCCUGCGAAGGUGUGCUGUGAGGCAUGCUGGAGGUAUCAGAAGUGCGAAUGCUGACAUAAGUAACGAUAAAGCGGGUGAAAAGCCCGCUCGCCGGAAGACCAAGGGUUCCUGUCCAACGUUAAUCGGGGCAGGGUGAGUCGACCCCUAAGGCGAGGCCGAAAGGCGUAGUCGAUGGGAAACAGGUUAAUAUUCCUGUACUUGGUGUUACUGCGAAGGGGGGACGGAGAAGGCUAUGUUGGCCGGGCGACGGUUGUCCCGGUUUAAGCGUGUAGGCUGGUUUUCCAGGCAAAUCCGGAAAAUCAAGGCUGAGGCGUGAUGACGAGGCACUACGGUGCUGAAGCAACAAAUGCCCUGCUUCCAGGAAAAGCCUCUAAGCAUCAGGUAACAUCAAAUCGUACCCCAAACCGACACAGGUGGUCAGGUAGAGAAUACCAAGGCGCUUGAGAGAACUCGGGUGAAGGAACUAGGCAAAAUGGUGCCGUAACUUCGGGAGAAGGCACGCUGAUAUGUAGGUGAAGUCCCUCGCGGAUGGAGCUGAAAUCAGUCGAAGAUACCAGCUGGCUGCAACUGUUUAUUAAAAACACAGCACUGUGCAAACACGAAAGUGGACGUAUACGGUGUGACGCCUGCCCGGUGCCGGAAGGUUAAUUGAUGGGGUUAGCGCAAGCGAAGCUCUUGAUCGAAGCCCCGGUAAACGGCGGCCGUAACUAUAACGGUCCUAAGGUAGCGAAAUUCCUUGUCGGGUAAGUUCCGACCUGCACGAAUGGCGUAAUGAUGGCCAGGCUGUCUCCACCCGAGACUCAGUGAAAUUGAACUCGCUGUGAAGAUGCAGUGUACCCGCGGCAAGACGGAAAGACCCCGUGAACCUUUACUAUAGCUUGACACUGAACAUUGAGCCUUGAUGUGUAGGAUAGGUGGGAGGCUUUGAAGUGUGGACGCCAGUCUGCAUGGAGCCGACCUUGAAAUACCACCCUU